rnacentral:rRNA from 1 species
UGGGGAAUAUUGGACAAUGGGCGCAAGCCUGAUCCAGCCAUGCCGCGUGAGUGAUGAAGGCCCUAGGGUUGUAAAGCUCUUUCACCGGUGAAGAUAAUGACGGUAACCGGAGAAGAAGCCCCGGCUAACUUCGUGCCAGCAGCCGCGGCAAUACGAAGGGGGCUAGCGUUGUUCGGAUUUACUGGGCGUAAAGCGCACGUAGGCGGACUUUUAAGUCAGGGGUGAAAUCCCGGGGCUCAACCCCGGAACUGCCUUUGAUACUGGAAGUCUGGAGUAUGGUAGAGGUGAGUGGAAUUCCGAGUGUAGAGGUGAAAUUCGUAGAUAUUCGGAGGAACACCAGUGGCGAAGGCGGCUCACUGGACCAUUACUGACGCUGAGGUGCGAAAGCGUGGGGAGCAAACAGG